CCGCCUUUCUCCAAAUCGGUCUGGAGGGGAUCCAGGUUUCUCUUGGUCGGGUCCCGGGCAAGGCAGCGACCCCAGCUUUCCCCACUCUGGCCCUCAAGGAGAGGGUACCCGAUUCUCAAAGACCGGCCCCGGGCGGGACGGCCACUCCGGCUUCCCUAGAUAGAACUCUUCAGGAGAAGGGACUUUGGCUUCUCCCUAACCGGUCCUGGGGCGCGAGAAGGAGGGGCAGGGACAGCCUAAAGCUCCUCGAAAGGCUCCUUGGAAAGAACCCCAAAUUAUUCUUUCGUGGUCCCCAGACGAGAUGGAGGAUCUUGGGUUUCCAGAACAGGUUCCCAGUGGGGACAGGGUCCUCAAAGAGCUUUGGGUAAGCUCCGAACUGAAAGGGGAAUUGGAUGAAGAUGGAAAGAGAAGCCCCGAUGCCCAAGGCCUGCUCCCUGGAGGCCGGGAACCUUGGCUCCGGCAGCUCGGAGUCUCCGCGUCCCGGGGAUAUCGCGCCUACGCUGCUUGGCUGAGAGCUGGGUUUCGGGAGCUCAGGGAGGAAGUGUCCAAGCAGGUGAGCGCCUCCUGGGCGGGACAGGCAGCUCGACUAGCACCAACCUGAAGACGCCUGACUGUAUCCCCAGGCCCGCCACCUCGCUCCUCAGCAGGGUCAUCUCCCAGACAUCAUUUCCCCGUGCAGCAGUCGCCGCUCUCCGGGUCGGGGACAGUUCCCCAGAGAGCCUUGGACAGAAGCGGUGGGAGCAACACAGGAUAAAGUUUGGGGCAGCGUCAGCGGGCGCCAGGGCCACGCUGGAGACCAAAGCCAGGGGCCACCCUUCUUGGAGCGCUUUUCCCUCUUUCCCGGGUUUGUGUCGCCGACUUUCUGCACCCUGAGCUACCCCAAGCCGGCUCCUUGGUGCCCUUGGCACCUUGGCGUGCUGAGCACUUUGCGAGGAAUAAUCUGACCCCGGCGCGCAGCUCCACAAAGAAAGAUUUUGGGCGGAGAACACCCCUCCCAGCCCGGGAGGGAGUGCGCGGCUUGGCACCCUGGCUGGAGCGAGCUGCGCUGACGAGCGGCGACUGCCACUCGGUGGAGCCGGGAGGCGGCCGAUCCUCCCUGUGGACCGCAGGGAAGCGAGUGUGACUUCACUGGCCUAUUCAGCCCUCCCCAAAACUGAGGACCUGAGUUCACAGGGGAAACUGUCUCCGCUCCACGUAGCAGAGAAAGAAGUGGCUCUGGAGUCCAACAGACUUAGGUUUACUCACUGUGUGACCCUGUGCAAGUCAUUUAAUUUCUCUGCACCUAUUUCCUAGCAAAAAAAAAAAAAAAAAAAAA